GUGAGGAAUUUUCCGCAAUGGGCGAAAGCCUGACGGAGCAAUGCCGCGUGAAGGAUGAAGGCCUAUGGGUUGUAAACUUCUUUUCUCAGAAAAGAAUUAUGACGGUAUCUGAGGAAUAAGCAUCGGCUAACUCUGUGCCAGCAGCCGCGGUAAGACAGAGGAUGCAAGCGUUAUCCGGAAUGAUUGGGCGUAAAGCGUCUGUAGGUUGUUUAAAAAGUAUUCUGUCAAAGAUUAGGGCUUAACCCUAGAUAGGAAGAAUAAACUUUUAAGCUAGAGUUUGGUAGAGGCAGAGGGAAUUCCCGGUGGAGCGGUGAAAUGCGUAGAUAUCGGGAGGAACACCAAAGGCGAAGGCACUCUGCUGGGCCAAUACUAACACUGAGAGACGAAAGCGAGGGGAGCAAAUGGGAUUAGAAACCCGUGUAGUCC
rnacentral:rRNA from 1 species